UAGUGAGUUUGAUCCUGGCUCAGGACGAACGCUGGCGGCGUGCUUAACACAUGCAAGUCGAACGAUGAAGGAGGAGCUUGCUCCUCCGGAUUAGUGGCGAACGGGUGAGUAAUACGUGAGCAAUGUGCCCUUGACUCUGGGAUAAGCGCUGGAAACGGCGUCUAAUACCGGAUACGACCUUCGGAGGCAUCUCUUUGGGUGGAAAGAACUUCGGUCAAGGAUCAGCUCACGGCCUAUCAGCUAGUUGGUGGGGUAAUGGCCACCAAGGCGACGAUGCAUAGCCGACCUGAGAGGGUGAUCGG
rnacentral:rRNA from 1 species